rnacentral:rRNA from 1 species
GCAGUCGCCACGGUAAUACGUAGGGUGCAAGCGUUAAUCGGAAUUACUGGGCGUAAAGCGUGCGCAGGCGGUUAUAUAAGACAGAUGUGAAAUCCCCGGGCUCAACCUGGGAACUGCAUUUGAAACUGUCAGGCUGGAGUCUUGUAGAGGGGGGUAGAAUUCCAGGUGUAGCGGUGAAAUGCGUAGAGAUCUGGAGGAAUACCGGUGGCGAAGGCGGCCCCCUGGACAAAGACUGACGCUCAGGUGCGAAAGCGUGGGGAGCAAACAGGAUUAGAUACCCGGGUAGUCCCUGUCUCUUAUAC